UACGUAGGGCGCAAGCGUUGUCCGGAAUUACUGGGCGUAAAGAGCUCGUAGGCGGUUUGUCGCGUCUGCUGUGAAAACCUAAGGCUCAACCUUGGGCUUGCAGUGGGUACGGGCAGACUAGAGUGCGGUAGGGGUGACUGGAAUUCCUGGUGUAGCGGUGGAAUGCGCAGAUAUCAGGAGGAACACCGAUGGCGAAGGCAGGUCACUGGGCCGCAACUGACGCUGAGGAGCGAAAGCAUGGGGAACAAACAGG
rnacentral:rRNA from 1 species